CGACGUUCCCAACUGAAUUCCCAACAUUCCAACCGGCAUUCCCAAAAUUCCAACCCAGAAUUCCCAACAUUCCAGCCCAAAAAACCCCAAAAUUCCAACCCUGAAUUCCCAAAAUUCCAACCCUGAAUUCCCAACAUUCCAACCCAAAAAAACCCAAAAUUCCAACCCAAAAAAACCCAAAAUUCCAAGAAUUCCCAUGGAAAAAUCCAACCCAAAAAUUCCCAAAAAUUCCAAGAAUUCCCAUGGAAAAAUUCCAACCCAAAAUUCCCAAAAUUCCAACCCAGAAAUCCCAAAAUUCAAAAAGUUCCCAUGGAAAAUUCCAACCCAGAAUUCCCAAAAAAUUCCAACCCAGAAUUCCCUAAAAUUCCAGCCUGGAAAUCCCAAAAUUCCAAGAUCAUUCCCAGAUUUUAAUCAAAGAUUCAUUUCAUUAAUAUUUUAAUUAAUU
rnacentral:lncRNA from 1 species